rnacentral:rRNA from 1 species
GAUGAACGCUGACAGAAUGCUUAACACAUGCAAGUCGACUUGAACGUCGGUUUGGGUGGCGGACGGGUGAGUAACGCGUAAAGAACUUGCCUCACAGAUAGGGACAACAUUUGGAAACGAAUGCUAAUACCUGAUAUUAUGAUUAUAUGGCAUCGUAUAAUUAUGAAAGCUAUCUGCGCUGUGAGAGAGCUUUGCGUCACGUUAGCUAGUGGGAGAGGUCACGGCUCACCAAGGCGAUGAUGGCUAGCCGGCCUGAGAGGGUGAACGGUCAAAAGGGGAAGGAGAGACAGCAGUUAGGCAUACGCGAGGCAGGGGGGGGGAAUGAUGGAGCAACGACGAGGAGGCUGAGCCAGUCAUUGGGUGGGAACGAUGAAUUUUUUGGGAAUGAAAAGUGUUUACGGUUGGGAAGACAAAAUGACGGUACCAACAGAAGAAGUGACGGCUAAAUACGUG